AUUGAACGCUGGCGGCAGGCUUAACACAUGCAAGUUGAGCGGGGUGAUGGUGCUUGCACUAUCACUUAGCGGCGGACGGGUGAGUAAUGCUUAGGAAUCUGCCUAUUAGUGGGGGACAACAUCUCGAAAGGGAUGCUAAUACCGCAUACGUCCUACGGGAGAAAGCAGGGGAUCACUUGUGACCUUGCGCUAAUAGAUGAGCCUAAGUCGGAUUAGCUAGUUGGGGGGGUAAAGGCCUACCAAGGCGACGAUCUGUAGCGGGUCUGAGAGGAUGAUCCGCCACACUGGGACUGAGACACGGCCCAGACUCCUACGGGAGGCAGCAGUGGGGAAUAUUGGACAAUGGGGGGAACCCUGAUCCAGCCAUGCCGCGUGUGUGAAGAAGGCCUUAUGGUUGUAAAGCACUUUAAGCGAGGAGGAGGCUCUUUUGGUUAAUACCCAAGAUGAGUGGACGUUACUCGCAGAAUAAGCACCGGCUAACUCUGUGCCAGCCGCCGCGGUAA
rnacentral:rRNA from 1 species